rnacentral:sRNA from 1 species
CCAGACUAUUCCAGAAACAGCCUGGGGAUUCUGAAUGUUUCCCAGAGAAUCAUUAGGAAUUAUCCCAGCGGCGCUGGAGUCAGCAAUGGUUCCGGCCUCAGGGAUGAGUGCAUCACAAACCUACUGGUGUUUGGCUUCCUCCAAAGCUGCUCUGACAACAGCUUCCGCAGAGAGCUGGAUGCGCUGGGCCGCGAGCUGCCAGUGCUGGCUCCCCAGUGGGAGGGCUACGAUGAGCUGCAGACUGACGGCAACCGCAGCAGCCACUCCCGCUUGGGAAGAAUAGAGGCAGAUUCUGAAAGUCAAGAAGACAUCAUCCGGAACAUUGCCAGG